AGGGUCAACAUUUCUCUUCAGAAUGUAUAAAUCUUUCGCCUUUUACUAAAGAUUUCUGUGGAGAGAAGCAAUUCUGAGUCCUGAUCCAAUGUUUUGAGGCCUUGCAUUUUUGUAGGGCU
ensembl:snRNA U5 U5 spliceosomal RNA